UCCCUCAUUUUCACACCGUACAUUCCAGCCUCCAUCGUCGUUCCAUACAUUCCAAACAAUCAGAACCCUAAUCUUCUAGCCUCCAUCGUCGUUCUUCACAUUUUGUGCAGAUCGAAGAGUUUCACAAUCACGAAACCCUAGCCCUCAUCAUCUUCCCUGUUUUGAUUCAAAUGUAAACCCUAUAUCGCUCAUCCUCCUCUGCUGAUUCUCUCAUUCAUCGUCCUCAUACUCUCUAUCAUCUAAAGUUCCUAUUAUUGUGUCCCAGUUAUAAAGAUCCGGUUUCAAGCUACGAAGCUUUUCAUUAAUAUUCAGUCUCAAAUCUGGAGGCUUAUUUGAAAGAUUGAAUGCUGGUAUCUGAAUAGAUCUUCAUGUGGCUGAAGAAGAUCGUUUGAUUUGUAGAUGAAGAAGAUCAGUAAAAUGAGGCUUGCUGGAUACAUUGAAACUAUGAGCGAGUGAAGGUUAGUUUGGAUGCAAUGUUCGGGCUGCGGAUAAAAAGAAUUUGUAUGGGUGCACAAAGUUGUUCCUUGGAGAAAUUGCACAAGAUAUUCAAAUUGUAGAGGGAUUUGCUAAGAUGCUUUAUAUACAACAAAUAGUUGUUGUUGGUAGAUUACCAAAGUUGAAUGUAUAUUAUCUCACAAAAGAUAGAUGGCACUGGAUGUAUGUAAAUAUUGAAUUGAAAUCCCAGUUGGAAUUAUAGUUUAUAUUUUACUUUGGUUAUAAAUUAGACAUUCAGAGUUAAUUGGCCACAGAAGGAUGAGGCCGAGAGCGAAGCUAUUUCGGGGAUCGGGAGUUGAAUGGUUCGAGAACCAAGAAUCGUGGUUCAAACCACCAGUGAUAUUGAUGUUCUUAGUGGGUUUAGAAAUUAGGGGUUUAGACAUUCUUUAGAAGAAAUUUUGUAAUUUUAAAUUAGCCAUAUUUUGGUGGGUUUAAAAAAUUAAGGUUUCGACCGUUUUUUUAGAAGAAGUUUGGUAAUUUGUUUUGCUGUAUUGUAUAUGUCUACGUUUACUAUUUGAUUGCCAUAAUUUCCUUUAAAUUUUC
rnacentral:lncRNA from 1 species